AGUGAACGCUGGCGGUAGGCCUAACACAUGCAAGUCGAACGGCAGCACAGUAAGAGCUUGCUCUUACGGGUGGCGAGUGGCGGACGGGUGAGGAAUACAUCGGAAUCUACUUUUUCGUGGGGGAUAACGUAGGGAAACUUACGCUAAUACCGCAUACGACCUACGGGUGAAAGCAGGGGAUCUUCGGACCUUGCGCGAUUGAAUGAGCCGAUGUCGGAUUAGCUAGUUGGCGGGGUAAAGGCCCACCAAGGCAACGAUCCGUAGCUGGUCUGAGAGGAUGAUCAGCCACUCUGGAACCGAGACACGGUCCAGACUCCUACGGGAGGCAGCAGUGGGGAAUAUUGGACAAUGGGCGCAAGCCUGAUCCAGCCAUACCGCGUGGGUGAAGAAGGCCUUCGGGUUGUAAAGCCCUUUUGUUGGGAAAGAAAAGCAGCAGGUUAAUACCCCGCUGUUCUGACGGUACCCAAAGAAUAAGCACCGGCUAACUUCGU
rnacentral:rRNA from 1 species